ACGGAUAAAAGCUACCCCGGGGAUAACAGGCUUAUCUCCCCCAAGAGUUCACAUCGACGGGGAGGUUUGGCACCUCGAUGUCGGCUCAUCGCAUCCUGGGGCUGUAGUCGGUCCCAAGGGUUGGGCUGUUCGCCCAUUAAAGCGGUACGCGAGCUGGGUUCAGAACGUCGUGAGACAGUUCGGUCCCUAUCCGUCGUGGGCGUAGGAAAUUUGAGAGGAGCUGUCCUUAGUACGAGAGGACCGGGAUGGACAUACCUCUGGUGUACCAGUUGUCGUGCCAACGGCAUAGCUGGGUAGCUAUGUAUGGACGGGAUAAGUGCUGAAAGCAUCUAAGCAUGAAGCCCCCCUCAAGAUGAGAUUUCCCAACUUCGGUUAUAAGAUCCCUCGAAGAUGACGAGGUUAAUAGGUUCGAGGUGGAAGCGUGGUGACACGUGGAGCUGACGAAUACUAAUCGAUCGAAGACUUAAUCAAUAUU
rnacentral:rRNA from 1 species